rnacentral:rRNA from 1 species
AAGCGGCGGACGGGUGAAUAUCGCGUAGGUAACCUGCCCUUCAGCGGGGGAUAACGGUCCGAAAGGACCGCUAAUACCGCGUACGUAUCUCGGGGCUCCGGCCCUGAGGUGGAAAGCUAGGUAGCAAUAUCUGGCGCUGGAGGAGGGGCCUGCGUCGCAUCAGCUAGUUGGUGGGGUAACGGCCUACCAAGGCGAAGACGCGUAGCUGGUCUGAGAGGAUGAUCAGCCACACUGGGACUGAGACACGGCCCAGACUCCUACGGGAGGCAGCAGUGGGGAAUAUUGGACAAUGGGCGCAAGCCUGAUCCAGCCACGCCGCGUGAGUGAUGAAGGCCUUCGGGUCGUAAAGCUCUGUGGGGAGGGACGAACCGCCGGGUAUUAAUACCAUCCGGCAUGACGGUACCUCCUUAGCAAGCACCGGCUAACUUCGUGCCAGCAGCCGCGGUAAUACGAAGGGUGCAAACGUUGCUCGGAAUCAUUGGGCGUAAAGCGCACGUAGGCGGCUUGCCAAGUCGGACGUGAAAUCCCUCAGCUCAACUGAGGACGUGCAUCCGAAACUGGCGAGCUUGAGUACUGAAGAGGAUCGCGGAAUUCCCGGUGUAGAGGUGAAAUGCGUAGAGAUGUGGAGGAAUACCGAUGGCGAAGGCAGCCCCCUGGGCCAAUAC